GACGAACGCUGGCGGCGUGCUUAACACAUGCAAGUCGAGCGAAGCUCUUCUCUUCGGAGAAGAUGACUUAGCGGCGAACGGGUGAGUAACACGUGGGCAACCUGCCCUUAGCUCUGGGAUAAGCGAUGGAAACGUCGUCUAAUACCGGAUACGACACGGGACGGCAUCAUCACCGUGUGGAAAGAAUUUCGGCUAAGGAUGGGCCCGCGGCCUAUCAGCUUGUUGGUGGGGUAAUGGCCUACCAAGGCUUCGACGGGUAACCGGCCUGAGAGGGCGACCGGUCACACUGGGACUGAGACACGGCCCAGACUCCUACGGGAGGCAGCAGUGGGGAAUAUUGCACAAUGGGCGAAAGCCUGAUGCAGCGACGCCGCGUGAGGGAUGACGGCCUUCGGGUUGUAAACCUCUUUCAGCAGGGACGAAGCGAAAGUGACGGUACCUGCAGAAGAAGCGCCGGCCAACUACGUGCCAGCAGCCGCCGUAACAC
rnacentral:rRNA from 1 species